rnacentral:rRNA from 1 species
CUUAGUGGCGGACGGGUGAGUAACGCGUGGGUAACCUGCCGUAUACAGGGGGAUAACACUUAGAAAUAGGUGCUAAAACCGCAUAAGCGCACAGUGCCGCAUGGCGCAGUGUGAAAAACUCCGGUGGUAUACGAUGGACCCGCGUCUGAUUAGCCAGUUGGCAGGGUAACGGCCUACCAAAGCGACGAUCAGUAGCCGGCCUGAGAGGGUGGACGGCCACAUUGGGACUGAGACACGGCCCAAACUCCUACGGGAGGCAGCAG